rfam:Bacteroidetes bacterium GWA2_32_17 gwa2_scaffold_9316, whole genome shotgun sequence.
ACAGCAGUAGCCGAAAAGCUGAGAAAGAGUAGACA